UGCGCGGGGGGCCCCCCUGACCCCAUGCCGAACUCAGAAGUGAAACGCCGUAGCGCCGAUGGUAGUGUGGGGUCUCCCCAUGCGAGAGUAGGGAACUGCCAGGC
rnacentral:rRNA from 1 species